rnacentral:rRNA from 2 species
UUAUCGGAGAGUUUGAUCCUGGCUCAGGACGAACGCUGGCGGCGUGCCUAAUACAUGCAAGUCGAGC